CUGCCCACUGUCAAAAAGUUUGGCACAUCAAAGGUCCUCUCUGUCUCUCCAUCGCACUUACCUGUUGAUACUGGAUCCUAGGACACACUGGAAGAAGAUCAAGCUUCUCUAGAAUCAGAUGCCUGAGUAAUACAGUGUUUCACGUAAGAAGACGAUCUUGCUUCCCAGACAGAGAAAAAAUAAGAACCAUGCUUGGACCACAGUUAAUUACUAAAAUGGAACCAUAAACCAGAGGGCAAUGCAUUCCUUUUCUCUACCACCAGAUGCACAUAAAAGAACUAUGGCUUACAGGGAGGAUGCUUGUUAUUUUGUGUGGAAUCAUCAAGAAACAGAUGGAGGGUGAUUACAUGGCCGAUGUCCUGCUGACUGUUUUAAAGCGAAUAAACAUUAACUUGUAUUCUUUGAGUUUGGAUUAGUAAACAGUGAUCAUAUAGAAUGAGGAAAAUGCAAUUUCAGAUGAUCACAGAU